CAGUAGCCGCGGUAAUACGGAGGGGGCUAGCGUUGUUCGGAAUUACUGGGCGUAAAGCGCACGUAGGCGGCUUGGUAAGUUAGAGGUGAAAGCCCGGAGCUCAACUCCGGAAUUGCCUUUAAGACUGCCGAGCUAGUAGGUGAGAGAGGUAAGUGGAAUUCCGAGUGUAGAGGUGAAAUUCGUAGAUAUUCGGAAGAACACCAGUGGCGAAGGCGGCUUACUGGCUCAUUCUAGACGCUGAGGUGCGAAAGCGUGGGGAGCAAACAGGAUUAGAUACCCCAGUAGUCCCUGUCUCUUAUAC
rnacentral:rRNA from 1 species